rnacentral:rRNA from 1 species
UGGCGGACGGGUGAGUAACACGUGGGUAACCUGCCCUUUAGCGGGGGAUAACACUUGGAAACAGGUGCUAAUACCGCAUAAUCUUUUUUCUCGCAUGAGAGAAAAGUGAAAGACGCUUUUGCGUCACUAAAGGAUGGACCCGCGCUGCAUUAGCUAGUUGGUGAGGUAAUGGCUCACCAAGGCCACGAUGCAUAGCCGACCUGAGAGGGUGAUCGGCCACACUGGGACUGAGACACGGCCCAGACUCCUACGGGAGGCAGCAGUAGGGAAUCUUCGGCAAUGGACGGAAGUCUGACCGAGCAACGCCGCGUGAGUGAAGAAGGUUUUCGGAUCGUAAAACUCUGUUGUUAGAGAAGAACAAGGAUGAGAGCAAAAUGUUCAUCCCUUGACGGUAUCUAACCAGAAAGCCACGGCUAACUACGUGCCAGCAGCCGCGGUAAUACGUAGGUGGCAAGCGUUGUCCGGAUUUAUUGGGCGUA